CAUAAAUCCUUUAUUCUAAUGUAUUCAGUACAUACAGGGCAUGAACUCAUUGUAAAGGUCAACAGAACAGUGGUCUCCUGAUGGAGUUGGGGACAGGGCAUGAACUCAUUGUAAAGGUCAACAGAACAGUGGUCUCCUGAUGGAGUUGGGGACAGGGCUGAAUGUGUAAAGGUCAACAGAACAGUGGUCUCCUGAUGGAGUUGGGGACAGGGCUGAAUGUGUAAAGGUCAACAGAACAGUGGUCUCCUGAUGGAGUUGGGGACAGGGCUGAAUGUGUAAAGGUCAACAGAACAGUGGUCUCCUGAUGGAGUUGGGGACAGGGCAUGAACUCAUUGUAAAGGUCAACAGAACAGUGGUCUCCUGAUGGAGUUGGGGACAGGGCAUGAACUCAUUGUAAAGGUCAACAGAACAGUGGUCUCCUGAUGGAGUUGGGGACAGGGCAUGAACUCAUUGUAAAGGUCAACAGAACAGUGGUCUCCUGAUGGAGUUGGGGACAGGGCAUGAACUCAUUGUAAAGGUCAACAGAACAGUGGUCUCCUGAUGGAGUUGGGGACAGGGCUGAAUGUGUAAAGGUCAACAGAACAGUGGUCUCCUGAUGGAGUUGGGGACAGGGCAUGAACUCAUUGUAAAGGUCAACAGAACAGUGGUCUCCUGAUGGAGUUGGGGACAGGGCUGAAUGUGUAAAGGUCAACAGAACAGUGGUCUCCUGAUGGAGUUGGGGACAGGGCUGAAUGUGUAAAGGUCAACAGAACAGUGGUCUCCUGAUGGAGUUGGGGACAGGGCUGAAUGUGUAAAGGUCAACAGAACAGUGGUCUCCUGAUGGAGUUGGGGACAGGGCUGAAUGUGUAAAGGUCAACAGAACAGUGGUCUCCUGAUGGAGUUGGGGACAGGUGUCCUGAUACAUAGGAUGAUGUAAUGACAUCAUUAAAGAAAGAUGUGACCAAAAUCUGUGUCCCUAAUGGCACCCAAUAUAACAUAGUGCCCUACUUUAGACCAGAGCCAUAUUCAAUAUAACAUAGUGCCCUACUUUAGACCAGAGCCAUAUUCAAUAUAACAUAGUGCCCUACUUUAGACCAGAGCCAUAUUCAAUAUAACAUAGUGCCCUACUUUAGACCAGAGCCAUAUUCAAUAUAACAUAGUGCCCUACUUUAGACCAGAGCCCUAUUCUCUAUAAUAUAGUGGACUACAUCA